rnacentral:rRNA from 1 species
UACAGAGGGUGCGAGCGUUAAUCGGAAUUACUGGGCGUAAAGGGCGCGUAGGCGGCAAUUCAAGUCAGCUGUGAAAUCUCCGGGCUUAACUCGGAACGGUCAGCUGAUACUGCUUUGCUAGAGUGCAGAAGGGGCAAUCGGAAUUCUUGGUGUAGCGGUGAAAUGCGUAGAUAUCAAGAGGAACACCUGAGGUGAAGACGGGUUGCUGGGCUGACACUGACGCUGAGGCGCGAAAGCUAGGGUAGCAAACGGG